rnacentral:rRNA from 1 species
UACGUAGGGUGCGAGCGUUAAUCGGAAUUACUGGGCGUAAAGCGUGCGCAGGCGGUUCGUGAUGUCUGGUGUGAAAGCCCCGGGCUUAACCUGGGAAUUGCAUUGGAAACUAGCGGGCUGGAGUGUGGCAGAGGGGGGUGGAAUUCCACGUGUAGCAGUGAAAUGUGUAGAGAUCGGGAGGAACACCGGUGGCGAAGGCAGAUCUCUGGGCCGAUACUGACGCUGAGGAGCGAAAGCGUGGGGAGCGAACAGG